CAUCACUCCUGAGUAAGAGGGAAGGGAGACAGGGAGAUUCCCAAUUUUCCCUCUGGGGUGAAAAAGGCCAAGGUUGAUGUUGAUUGCCACGUCGCCAUGUGGGAGGAUUGUACUGAGGGCCGGCCUGCCCUCGCUCCAUCCAUAGCCAUCAGAGCUGAAAUGAAUGCAUGCUAUAUUUAUUUAGGUUUUCAAAUAGACAUGCACUUCAGGUCAGAGAUCGCUGAGAAAGUCUGUCUCGAACCGUUAAGGAGGAGAAGAUUUCCUCAGCUGAUUUAUGAAGAUGAAAAUGUGAAGGCUUAGAGGGGUGUUGUGUGCUUUUAGACUUGGCAGUAUUUCUCUAUUAAGAAGCUAUGAAAGCCAAAUGGUCAUUCUUGGGUGGAGUGUGAUAGAUGAGCUAAACUCUGACUCUGUGUGCAAAUGCGCAAGCCAACAUGUCAAGUACAGAAAAGUACAUGAAACAGGCUCAAAUGUUCAUCAGAAAGUCUUGUCUACACAAUUUUGACCACUCAGUGAUGUACAUGAUGUACUGUGAGUGCCAGUGCUGGACAAACUCAUGUCCUUGAGUUUAACUACAGUUAAUCUAAUGAAAUUCAUUUCAGCAUUACUGUAGCACUACCAAGGAAUAGAUCAAGAACAUGUCAUUAUUCACUCAUUUACAUUUAUUCACUUACAUUUACAUUUAGUCAUUUUAUUUGUGUUCCACAGAAGAAGGAAAGUGAUGUAGACUUGGAACAACAUGAGGGGAAACAGGAGUCCUGGCUUCGUGCAAGCAACUACCCUUAAAUUCAGGAAGCAAUGAACAAUGUGAAAGAUAACAUUCCUCCAAACGCUAGUGUGCCAUAAUAAUCUACAGGGGGAUUUGAGACGUUGGCAUGAAGAACUCUUCCUGAAGGCAAAUUAAGCAAAGUCUGAAAAUAUGUAUCAGGUUAUGUAGCUGCUGGGAACAGGAACUGCCUCGCACUUUGCCAUCUAGCAUCUUGAGAUCAAGUUUGGCCGUGUGACAUGACCUGUCACACUCUUGAGUAAGUUCACAUAAAAACAUCUCAGCUUUUUUCAGUUUCUCUGUCAAAGAACGAACGAUAACAGGUUAUUCCAGUCAGCAGGAUAAUCUCAGUUCGGCCUGCAGGCUAACGCUGCCUGUGUUCACUUAAAGAGUUCACCCUUCUGUCACAGUCACAUAGAAAAUCUUUGAAAAGCAAAAACAGAACUAACUUCUUAAAGACUCUUCAAAGGAAGUUAACAAACACUGGAUCAAAUAAGAAGUUUUCAUGAAUGCGCCAGAGAAAUAGAGAAAGUUCGUUUCAAGUUCUUAUGAGUUCAUUUGUUCUGUUUUGUAUUUUGUGAUUUCAGCGAAAAAGACACACCCAGAUAUGUUUAUAGCUUAGACGUUGCUCUUUUAUACCUCAGUAAAAUUCAGUAUAAUCAAUAUAAUUGCGUCUCAUUUCAGUAUGUAAUCAACACAACAUUAGGUGCAAGGUAUACGAUUAUCAGUUUGUCACUGGGAAUCAAACUUAUGAUAUAUGAGAUAAAACUCAUGACUUGUGAGAUAAAAACAGUAAAAAUAAUUUUUUGACAUGACUCAUAAACUUUCUCAUAAUUGUCAUAAUUUUGACUUAACUUAACUUUUUUUCUCAUAAAUAUGACUUAGUAUCUCAAUUUCAAUUUUUAUUUUAUAUAAUUAUGUCUGUCAUCAUUUUUUUUUUCUUUUGUGGUGGAAAUGGGCUUUCAUUGGUUAGUUCAGUUAUCAUUUUUACAGCAGAUUUCUUUCACAAAUAACUUAGUCAUGUGUA